CACUCCCGCCUCGCUCUGGUCCCUCUUCUGCCCUGGGUUUUAGCUGGCCCUCCCUUCUCGGCAAGAUGGCGGUGCCCAGUUGCUGUGUGCCAGGUUUCUGGGUCCGGAGUUCCGGACAGUGUCUGGGGAGUCUCUUCACUUUCGUCUCAAAGCGACUUUGCUCCGCUGCUGCCGCCUCUAGGCCCAUGGAUGCCCAGCAACUGGCAGAGAGGCUCCGAGCCCAGAAAGAGAAACAAAAGGCGAAGGGGCCGGUGCCCACGAACCCUGUUCAGCGGAGAGUACGAGAACUAGUGCGGUUCACAGAGCAGCUGCAGCGAGUCCACCCCAAUGUGCUUGCUAAGGCGCUGAGCCGAGGAAUUGUCCACCAGGACAAGGACCUGCUGGUCAUCAAUAAGCCUUAUGGUCUCCCUGUGCAUGGUGGCCCUGGGGUCCAGCUCUGCAUCAGUGAUGUAUUACCCAUCCUGGCAAAGAUUCUUCAUGGCCACAAGGCAGAGCCCCUGCAUCUCUGCCAUCGUCUAGACAAGGAAACUACAGGCGUAAUGGUGUUGGCUUGGGAAAAAGAAGUGGCACAUCAAGUCCAAGAGUUGUUUAGAACCCGUCAGGUGGCAAAGAAGUACUGGGCUAUUACUGUGCGCGUCCCGGUGCCCUCAGCAGGAGUCGUGGACAUCCCCAUCAUCGAGAAGGAGGUGCAGGGCCAGCAGCAGCACCACAAGAUGACGCUAUGCCCGAGCUACCGCAUGGACAAUGGGAAGAUGGUGAGAGUACGGACCAGCCGGAACGCACAUCUGGCCGUAACUCAGUACCAGGUGCUAAGCAGUACCCUCUCCUCUGCUCUCUUGGAGCUCCAGCCUGUUACUGGAAUAAAACAUCAGCUUCGAGUUCACCUGUCUUUUGGAUUGGAUUGCCCAAUCCUCGGUGAUCAUAAGUACUCAGACUGGAACAGGCUGGCCCCUCAGAAGCUGUCUGUUGGUGUCCUGAAGAAGCUAGGGCUGCCACAGUCCAAGGCCCGCCACAUCCCCCUGCACCUGCAUGCCCGCCAGCUCAUCCUGCCUGCCCUGCAGUCCAGGAAGGAGGAACUCAACUUGGUCUGCAAGCCUCCUCGAUACUUUGUCCAUUCCCUGCGUCGUCUGGGCUUAAAGAUGCCGAGUCACGAUCAAAAUGGGGAUGAGGAAGCCUCACACCCAGGACCACAGUGAAGAUAGCCAGUUUGCCCUGAAUUCUUCACUCUGUUUGACUCUGCUAACUUCUCACCUGGGACAGACUCCAGAAGAGCCGGGUGUGAUGAGUUAGAGAAACAGCUGCUUCGGGGCUUUUACUGGAGACUAGCAUCUGUUUGCUAACACUUUGACCACACUCCGGAAAAGUCAUCAGGCAGUCUCCCUGCCUCAAAGUGGAAGAGCACCCAGGACCAGGAGAUCUGAAGCACAGAAUCUCUGAUCAGAAACUGUUUUCAUUCAACAAUAAAGCUCUUGGUCUCUUGGCAAGGUUCCUGGGGUUGAAAAGAACCUAGUGGUUAUCUAGCUCCUAGAGAGGUUCAGAAGCAUCUGGCUGCUGUCCUCGGGGAGCUGUGGGGUCUGUUGGUACAGGCUUUCUGCUUGGUUUAGCCUCCGAUUUGGUAGACUGCAAGCAUUCUCUCCAGCCUCAGCCUGGGAACCAUUCUGUGCUCGUGAUUGUGGAGUCCGUGAAAGGGUUGUUUGGUGAGCAAGGAAAGCAGAUGUAAAUGGCUGGCAGGUAGCAAGUGCAGCAGGCAGGUGUAAGGCUGCGGUGGGGAGUGCCCCCAGGUUGAGAGGACAGUUUUUAGCUCCAGCUGAGUGUUGCUUUGUGGGAACAGAUUUUUCUAACUUUUUUCAGAGGUUGGGAAACCCAGAUAUUUAUGUGAAAUCUUAUAUCGUAUUGCUAACUAAAUCAAAAUUUUUAAAAAACACUUGGAGUUCUCUUAUGAUACAGGGGGUUAAGGAUCCAGCAUUGUCAUUGCUGUGGCUUGGGUCUGCUGUGGCACGGGUUGGAUCCCUGGCUUGGGGAGUUUCUGCAUGCCAUGGGCAUGGCCAAACAAAACAAAACACAACACUUGGGCAGCCAAAGCAAAUCAUAUUUUCUGGUUAGAUUUGGUCUGCAGGCUACCUGUUUGCAAAUGGGUGUUUAAAAACUUGUGUGGAAGUUUGGGGAGAAGUGCCAUCUUAAAAGUUCUGGGUCAUUGGUUGGCGGUUCGCUCCAUGCAGCCUCUGUCCUUUCUAGACCAGGGGAUGACCUUGGUUGGUCUGUAAAUGCGUGGUUGUGAGGGUGCUGCUGUUUUUUGAAUCUCCUUUGUUUCAGAAGCAAGCCUGUUCUUGGGCCUCAGGUGGAAGAUCCCUGCUGAGCCCUUGGGCUGCUCUGCUUGGUUGUCCAGCUUGCUCCCAUCUUGUUUCUUGAGACAGUACAUACAGUCUUGCAAACAGACACACCUCAUGUGUCUGAGGUGAGAAAAGCCGGAGUGACAGCACAGCUGCAGAGAAUCCCCAAAGACAGCUGUUCUGUGCUCUCUGUAUUGUUAACACAACUUCCUAACCCCCUUCCCUCUGUCCACGAAACCUGUUACGUGCAUAAUGGAUUUAACUUUAGAAGCACAGGUGAGGUAACUGUGAUACAUAAGGCCUGAACAUGUUGGCUGCUUCUUUGUCUUUUUUCUUUUUUCCUUUUUUUUUUUUUUUUUUUUUUUUUCCUGCUUUUUAGUGCCACACUUGCGGCAUGUGGAGAUUCCCAGGCUAGGGGUCAGAUUGGAGCUACAGCUGCUGGCCACAGCCACAGCAACACCAGAUCUGAACCAAGUCUGUGACCUACACUACAGCUCGUGGCAACGCCGGAUCCCUAACCCACUGAGCGAGGUCAGGGAUUGAACCUGCGUCCUCAUGGAUGCUAGUCAGAUUCAUUUCCGCUGAGCCACGAUGGGAGUUGCUGCUCCUUUUCUUACAAACCGCGCUUCUCUGCCUGUGUGCUGAUGCCUGUAAACAUCGCCCUUUGGGAUUCCCACUCAGCCCCUUGUCAUGCCCACACUGCUCAGUUUUCUCUCCAGACCUGGUCUUCAUCUGCUGUUCCUGCCUUAGUUUAAUGGUGCCACCCUUGUCCUGAGUGUCCCUCUCAACUCUCCUCUACACCUGUCCCCAAAUCCAGUUAGUCUCCUGGUCUCCCCUCUUUCCCUCUCAAAGCCCUUCUCUGAAAAUGCACUUAGCUCUUUAGUCCUCUGCCUCUUUCUGGGCACCAGCUUCAGCCUCCCCACUCUUCAGCCGUGGUGGGUUAGAAUGGGAAGGUGGAGGGGCAGGGCGGGUUAGAAGUGGGGGUCAGAGGCAACCUGCUAGUUCCCCCAGAACCAGACCCCAUGGGCGUGUGGAGACGAUUCUAGGUUCCUGGGCCCAGGGCAGUAGCGGGCUGUUACAACCACGACAGAGACACUGUAGGACACUCCCUCGUGUUUUCUCCGUCAGCUGCCUUUGGCUCUCUAGACGACUUUUAGCCAGAGUGCCCGGCGGGGUAUAUAGACACGGCCUUCUGUCUGUGCUCGGGCAGAGCACAUGCGGUGGGUGCAGACACUUCCGCCCCAGUGGGAAGUGCUUGCCACGCUGACCACCUGGAAUUAGGCUGGCCACACUUUCCAAGUUAAGGGCACAGUCCUGCACAAGGCUCCUCUUCAGAUACCAGCCGGGAGCUCGCGGGUGCCCAGGCCACCCACACCACUCACCAAUGAAGAGGCCGAAUGAACUUUCCACCGCUGCUUAGGGUCUCUGGCUGAGUCUAAAGGUUGAACUGACAGAGUAACAGGAGAAAAGCUGACACGUUUAUUUGAUGUAAGUUUUACGUGAUAUAAGAGUUUCUAUAAGGACAUGAAGACCGCAAGGAGCAGACCUGCAUUUUUAUGCUAGGUUUGAUGAAAAGUGGACCUUCGUGGCAAGGGGCAGGGGGUGGAUGGUGGGGGUAGGACAGGCUGAGGGUUAGGAGGUGAUUGCAGUAAACUGGGGGAAACAGCGAGGCCUGUUUGUUAGGUUUCUUCUUGGUGACUUUUAGUCUUUGGGGAUAAGGAUGCACCUUUCCUCCAGGUAUUGGCAGGGGUUGGGGAGGCAUCUCACGUGAGGGUUUAUGACCAGUUUAGGGAGGAAGGGCAAGGGGGGAGGAGGUCAAAGUGGGUUCCCUGCUUCUGCUGUUUUCUCAAACUGCUUAAACUUAAAAUAUUCAAGGUGGGAGCACUCUUUGUCAUAUUCUUGUAGAUAAAUCUGACUAGUAUCCAUGAGGAUGCACGUUCGAUCCCUGGCUUUGCUCAGUGGGUCGAAGAUCCGGCUUUGCCGUGAACUGUGGUGUAGGUCGCAGACGCUGGCUAGAUCUGGCGUUGCUGUGGCUGUGGUGUAGGCCGGCAGCUAGAGCUCUGAUUCGACCCUUAGCCUGGGAACCUCCAUAUGCCACGGGUCUCGACCCUUAGCCUGGGAACCUCUAUGUGCCACGGGUGUGGCCCUAAAAAGACAACAACAACAACAAAAAAAAAUUAAAAUAUUCAAGGUGCUAGAUUUGAGGGUGGCAUGUCCUGAACCCUGUCCCCAAAUAGCUACGAAUUCAGGGAUUCCUACUUCCGUUCAGGCUCCAUAGUCUUCUAGAGUGAUCCUCAGAACCUGGGAAAAUGCUCUAAUAACUAUUUUAUUACAGUAUUAAAGAGGUGUCAGUCAAGACCAGCCAAAAGAAGAGACUUAUGGGGAGAGACCUGGGAGUGUCCCAAACGUGAAGCUACCAUGUCCUCUCCUUGGGGAGUCAAGACCCACCACCAUCCUAGCACAUGGAACUCUGCAUUGCUAACCAGGAACGUCCCAUAAGCUUCUGCAUCUGGUGUUUACUGCGGUUUCAUCAGGGCUACACCCCAGGCUAGGGGUGGAGACAGAGCUACAGCUGUUGGCCUACACCACAGCCACAGCAACAGCAACACAAGAGCUGAGCUGCAUCUGUGACCUACACUGCAGCUUGCAGCAGCGCAGCAUCCUUAACCCACUGAGCCAGACCAGGGAUCAAAACCACAUCCUCGUGGCUACUAGUCAGGUUUUUAACCCGCUGAACCACAAUAGAAACUCAAGAGAAUGGGGUUUUUAACCUGGAAUGAAUACACAGUAGGGUGAAGCUCUUCUUUCCUGGGGAUUUUCACAUGCUGUGUAUGGACACUGACCAUAAACAUGUCCCAAGUACUCAGGUAUCCGUGCCUUCCAGCCCACAUCAGUGUGUCCACACACAACAGGACCCCCACACUGUUCAUAACCUCUCUUUAACACCCUCCCCCAACUCAUUCCCACUCUUGACACCUUCAGGGCUGUUGUCUGGGGAGGAGGCCUACAUCAUAGUAGGCUAUUAUGAAUCAUGCUGCUAUAAACAUUCAUGUAUAAGUGUUUGUGUGGAUUUUCAUUUCUCUUGAGCACAUAACUAAGAGUGAAAUUGCUGGGUCAAAUGUUAACUCUCCUCAACACUUUGUAGAACUACCAGACUGUUUUCUGAAGUGGCUGCACCAUUUUAUACGCCAGCAACUAUGUAUGACGUUCUGGUUUCUCACCAACACUUGUUAUUUAUUUUUGUCUUUUUGUCUUUUUUAGGGCCAUACUCACAGCAUAUGGAAGUUCCUAGACUAGGGGUCAAAUCGGAGCUUCAGCUGCCGGCCUACACCAUAGCCACGGCAACGCAGGAUCUGAGCCACAUCUGCAACCUGCCACAUCCAGAAUGCAUUUAUUUAUUUCUUUAUUUAAUUUAUGAAACACUUUUUAUUACGUAUCUUUCUGACUCUGGGCAUCCUAUUGGAUCUGAAGUGGUUUCACAUUGUGGUUUUGAUUUGCAUGUCAUUGCUGACCCAUGAUAUUGAACAUAUUUUCAGUGCUUAUUAACCAUUUGUUUGAAGAAAUGUCUUUAAAUCCUUUUCCCAUUUUUAAGUUGGGUUGUCUUUUUAUUAUUAAAGUGUAAGAGUUCUUUAUACAUUGUGGAUGAUAGUUUCUUAACCAUAUGUAUUGUUUACAGAUAUUUUCUGUCCUUCUGUGGGUUGUCUGUACACUUUUUAAAUUAUAACAUUUGCAACACAAAAUUUUUUAAUUUUAUUGUUCAGUUUAUGUUUACUUUUUUGGGUUGUGCUUUUGAUGUCAUAUAUAAGAAAACUGCUUAGUCCAAAGUCAUGGAUGUUUCUUAUUUUUCCUAAUAGUUUUCUAGUUUUAACUUAUAUUUUGGGCCAGUGAUCUAUUUAAUUUAAUUUAAUUUUAUUUUAUUUUGUCUUUUUGCCAUUUCUUGGACCGCUCCAUCGGCAUAUGGAGGUUCCCAGCCUAGGGGUCGAAUCGGAGGUGUAGCUGCUGGCCUACACCACAGCCACAGCAACCGGAAUCUGAGCCGCAUCUGUGACCUACACCACAGCUCACGGCAACGCCGGAUCCUUAACCCACUGAGCAAGGCCAGGGAUCGAACCCGCAACCUCAUGGUUCCUAGUUGGAUUUGUUAACCACUGAGGCACGACGGGAACUCCCAGUGAUCCAUUUUAAAUUAAUUCUGAGUAUGUUGUAUUAACAUGCCCAACUUUGCAUGUGGAUAACCAGUGUUUCCAGGACCAUUUGUUGAAAAUAUUAUUUUUUCUCCAAUGGAACUAAUAAACUUCCAUUUUUAAAGGUCA